GCCUAGUUAGCUUGGUUGGUAGAGCGUACGCCUUAUGAGCACUAUAGGCCGCGGGUUUGAUUCCCGCCCGAGGCG
rfam:Asian citrus Psyllid, Diaphorina citri - Florida Strain, whole genome shotgun sequence.